CAAAAACCUGGCAUUUUCACAGGGGUGUGUAGACUUUUUAUAUCCACUGUAUGUCCCUGUGCAGUCGACACGCAGGGUCACUUUGCCUGCAAGAUGCUAGGGUACAUUUUAACCCAGAUACAUGAGCAACAUCUGAAGACCGGUUUGCAGAUUGGCAACUUGUGCAUUUCGGGUAUAAAUACUAUGUUCUUCUCUGAAAAGGAGGCAAUGAUGUAGGGUGGCAAUGAUGUAGCGCACAAGAUGCUCAUGAUGGGGAAGAGUAAGGGUAAGAACCCUGCUAUGAGGAACUACAAACUGAGCACCUACAGAUACGCAACGAACCACAAUGCUCCACACAUCAGGAGAGGCCGCUCGGGUCCUUACAAUAAAGUAGGUUCCGUGACAAUGCCACUCGAGGUGGUGUACAAUAUAAUGGCCUUAUACGCACCGAAUUCCCCCUCGGGCUUGGUUGUAACCAUGGUCGAGGCUUAUGAGAAAAGAUAUCGACCAUGAGCAGCCGCGUACGCCGUGAUUAAUGUUCACAUUGGACUUCAACAAGGACCACUUGUGCUCCGUGGAAGCGACAGCGGUCAUUGAACCACGGAACGAACUCACGUUCCAGAAAUGCGUGCUGGGAGGUGAGACGUUUCCAGGGCAUCGCGCACCUGUAUUAUGGGGGAGUUAUCAGAAGAGUGAUGUCUCAGAAUGCACCUAAGGAAGUAUACAACAAAAAGCGCCUGAGAGAAUCUAGACUAGGACCGAGGGGCACCUUCCACGGGCCCAGACUGAGCAUGUACUCAAUAGAGGAAUCGGGUGUACCCGUGAAAAACGAGUUUGAUUUGCACCACCCGGACCGUGUAUCACCAGGAACUGUGAUAAUAGCAGGCACCUGGUUGAGCUAGAGGAGUGUGUGUGCCGUGUGAAGAUAACAGUAAAAGAAUACAUGCAAAAAAAAUACACUAGGCUGUGUAUAGUUUUAUUUUGGCAUUGUAGGACUGGGUCUGAGUUAGGACAGCUCGACUUCGGGAAUACCUCACAAGUGUGACAAGUGUUUCACUUCAAUGUCUUUUAUUCGAUAUCCAGGUUGACAACAGUGUCAGUGCACAGUGUUCCCAGUCAAAGUCCUAUUCGCAAUAGGGGAGAACCUUUCAAACGAAUAAUAUUUCAUUUAACACCACAGCUGUGGAUAAACCAUGCAUUCACUGUGUAAGGCCCGUCAGCAGCACUGGAUUCAGAGAUGAGGGAGUCAGACUCAGGAGCAGCUUCAGCGUGACCCGCUAGUCAUGAAGGGCCUGAGGGGUCAUGGGAAUGUCCCGGUUGCCAUGUUCUUUGAGAAGAGGAGUUUCACCCAUUUCAUCCGCAUGCCUUUGGAUCAGUACGAGGCCUAUGGGGAUGAGUUUGUCAACCGGUACGCGGAACCACUUGCCAGGAUAGAGGUGCUGUGUUGCCAGCACCUCCUCGAUGCUCGAUGACUUCAAGCCACCAGGCGCCUUCUACAUGGAUGAGCCUGACCAAAAUAACCUUUCAAGGAUGUCUACGCGGUAAACCUGGGCGCCCAAGAAUGACGCAGAGUUGUUUACUGAUAACGAUCCUCCAAUGUGGCAUACCAAUGCUCUACAGCCCGGGACCAAGCACCCCCUUGGUCCGAUGCAGAGACCUGUUCACUGUUUCCUUGGAUGGGAAUGCUCAGCUGUUAGAUGUCUGCUCCCACCGAAUGGGUGAGUGCGAUAGACAUGAAACCUGGGUGGCCAAAAACCAGGAUAAUGUGUAGUUUUGAAAAUACACGGGUUCAUUUGAUACCAUGUAACUUUUGUGCAAUAAAGUCAAGUGACUCUGUGCACCCUGAGAGUUUGUGAUUAUUCUUACUCAGAAUGAUAACCGUUACAAAUGUAGUUUUGACACUUGGUUUAUUUCACAUACAUAUUACAUAACAAAUCACCAAAUAUAACUGUGACAUUGGCGCCUCGUGUUUAGUAUCAGUGGUAACCACUUAAACCCUGUGGAUCCAUCCAGCCUCUCUCGACACUACACAGAGAGUCCUGAGAUAGCGGUACUAUAAUCCAAACUUGGGAGCAUUCGCAUGCUCUGAAGUAGCGGCAGUUAAAAGUUAAUUUUGUGUACUGCAGCAGUGCUUGUGACACUUGGCAUAGAGCUCACCUUUAGUCCACAUUACACUCGUAUUCAUUAGAGAUAGAAGUCGCAGACCAUUUCCCGGUAACAGCCUGUGACACUCUGCAUUUUUGUUGACACGGAGGAGUAUCUGCCCUUCUGCAACUAACCGAGUUCCUAGAACCCCUGCGGAACCUCAUAAUGAUAUACAAAGUGGGGCUUGUGAUUCAGUGCAUGUUCCCUAUUGCUAUGCAGACAUUGAGCACCAUGUACUUGACUUCCCCACACUCGACAUUUGAGCAGUGAAAUAUGGUGCUGGAGAUCCAGGGUAUCCAGCAGCACAUGAAAAACGUAGCAGUUGUGUAAGGGCAGAACUUGAGCCCUUGUCAUGUUUCCCCCAAACGAAUUCCAGUUCACGUGCUUUCUGACACUGUAAUUCCAUUGUCAUUCCGUUGCAGUAAACAAGAAUGGCAAUGGGUAAGAUCAAAAAAUAUUCAUCCUAACCCAUAAAGUGGCAAUCUGGAAGUGAAGAUGCAUACCGUUGAAGCACAUCACAUUAUUCCCAGAUAUGGGACUCACGGUGUAAUAGCACAUGUCCAGUAGAGCGAGAGCGCCAGGACACGUGCACAAUCGGACACGAUUUUCCAGACACUUGAGUGUUGUCCUGUGAUGUACCACCUUUAUGUAUAUUUCGAUGUUGAUAUAGACCAUGAGAAGUAUUCCAUACUGGAAGCAGAACUGUAAAAACAUAGGGGAACAACGAGAUCACUUUAAGUGAGCUGGUGGGACAUGUUAUCUGUAUACAAGGUCAAGGAUCCAGAGUGAUGCUACGUACCGUUGUCACUCACUUCAUCAGUUUGCACACCAUGUAGCCAAACACCCAACCCUUGAUGAGAAUCCCACGCCGGGAUAUUCACCAAAGUGGCUUUGUCACAGAGUCCCAGAUGCGAAAAGAAAAUGUCAAGAUCACUGAGGACCUUUCUUUUCCUGCCAGAGUCCUUUGAUCAGGCACAGUGCAGCGAGAUGACCAGGUACAGGUUGACAACCAAGCCCGUGAGCAUAACCAGCGUGUGAAAGAAAGGAAUGUAAAAAAAGCAGUUGUAUUCAUAUAGGUAAUAACAAUGAGAGUCUGACCCUGUGUAAUUUAAGGUUCUUUUGAAUGUAACAUUAUGGGAAAAUGAUGCCAUGUUAGCGAUCUAUAUAGCACAAGUGAGACACGACUGCCCAGGUACUAUGAUCAGAUGACACUCGCGUGGACCAUUUUAAGUUAAGAUGAUGGUGAAUGAAUCGGACCAACCUGGGACCCGUAGCCCGAGCAUGUACGUCUACGCCAACUGAUGUUAGGGCUAUGUUCGCACGUGGAACAUCAACCACGUCUGUAUUGUCCGACCCCCGUCUGUUGUAACCAACGAACGUUUAGCGUACGAUAGUUCAGGACAUAGAACCUUGUGUGUCUUAUCCAACCGAUGUUAGCUCUGAGUGCUUGGACCCAUGACUACGGCUGUGACUCCAACCUACUCUGUCGUAGCCAACCAACGGUAUGUCUAUGACCACGCAACAGCCUCCACCGCAUCUGUUUUAUCCAACCAUUGUUAGGUCUACGAGAGCUCGGAACAAAGAACCGCAUCCAACGUUAGGUCUAUGACAGUUCCAAAACCUCCAGCUGCAUCUGUUUAUCAAACCUAAGAGUGUUUAUUCAACCAUGACUCAUGUUAGCAAGUAAGUGAUCUAAAGGCUUCAAAUAGCUCUUUAUGGGAUAAACGGACCCGCUGAAAGCGCUUCAACAAGUUCAGUAGCAUAAGGCGAAUGUCAAUCUGGCCUGAAGCGCAGAACCCAGUCAGCUCUGACAGCUCUAGACCCUAGAGAAAGGACACAGCCGCUGUGGAAAUUCGACGAAGCGAUUGACAAGUAAACUGAAGAGGACACCCUUAUGUUUAUGUAUCCCGUUAGUCAUUCUUUCAGCCACGAAGGAGUCGUCCAACACUUCAAAGGAGAGUACAUUGUAAUGAUCGGGGAGAUUCAUCCCUCUGGGCAUACCAAUCCUGGGGAAUUGCUGGAGCAGAUAUGUCAAGAUUUAGAAAAGAUCACACAUGUGGACAUGUGGCGCUGGACUCGUCCUUAUGGGUGUCAUGAGAGUCUGAUUAUAUACAGAAAACAUUAGGAAAUGCAUGAUGGGAACCAUUCAGCUGACCGUAAGAUUCGGAACUUUACAUAGAUGUUACAUAGAUAAAUGCUUGCCAAUGGAGUGGGGUAUAGAGCCUACCAUACUGUAUCUAUCCAACCAUUAAUCAUUCAUUAAAGCAACUCAAUGUUAUACCAUGGGGAACCCAAGAGGAGUUUACGGCAACUUCUCUGUGGAUUAUGUAGUAAUUAGAGGGGGUAAACAGGAGCUCGACACACAUGGUCUGUUGAUGAAUGGAAAAGUGGUGGAUAAAGACUUUAAGUAUGAUAUGAUAUUAGACCUGGACUCCUCUUGUAGGGAAGAGUACGCAACUCCUCUGGAAAGAGGGCAACUUGUCGAUGCGUACACACAGUACACAACCAAUAGACUGAACCCCAUUAAGAGGCCUUUCCAGCGCGAGCACACUCGCAUACUGUUCGUAUCUUCCAGUUACAUACCCAGACCGUUGAUCAGUAUCACGGGAGCUAGGACAGAGAUUAUAUCCUGCUUUCUCAACCGUGACCUUGGUGAACGGGGAAUCAGUGUAAACCGGAAUGGAGUGUGGGCAACCAGCUCCCUUGAGAUCAACAGAUCACUCACGCUGCUCUGGACAGUUACAAACCGGUGAAGUUGAGCGAAGCAAAGUGGUUGGGUGUCUUCUCAGGCAAGCACCAAGAGGACACUCCUUUUGUGCGCAUUAGAAAGGCAACUCUGUUUAAGACUUGUGUACAAACAAACAAUCGCACAAUGGUGUGAUUAGAAUCUCUAUGUUGUACAUACAACCCAAAAAUAGUCACAUGUGGAUUCUAAUUAAAGUGUGGAAUCACAAUAUAAGCAGAACGCAAAGCCCAGCGCAGUUGUUGUUUCAUGAUCCGCAACGGGAACAUGUUUGGGGGAUACGGUGAUAAACCAUACUGUUAUUUCAUGUAUCAGAGACACGACCAGGCUGACAGCUCAUGCUCAAAUGUCCAACUCUCCACAGCCGCGACAACUAACAGAAAACUAAUGAUGGUGAUGCCAGAUCUCAAGGAGUUGAAUUCUUUUAUGACAUCUGUGAACCUACCUGACGUGAGCAAAGGUUUUCAUGACAUAAAGAGGAAGCUGGAGGAGAUUAACAGAUCAUGGAACUCCUCCGGGUCUACUAUCCAAACACACAGUAUCCUGACACUUCUCAUUACGAUGGCAUCGCUGAUGGUUGCUAUAUAGAUUCACAUGAACCACAUAUAUGUGAGGCUAUUGUGUGUCAUGCAAGCAAUAAUGUAAACUACAAUCUUGUAUAUUAGACUUGCAUACGAAGCAUUAUGUGAUAACGUUUCCUUUCCCAGUACAGAUUUUGAUGAUAAUGUACACCUGUCUUUAGGUUAUAGUACACAUUUUGAUGAUAAUGUACACCUGUCUUUAGGUUAUAGUACACAUUUUGAUGAUAAUGUACACCUGUCUUUAGGUUAUAGUACACGUUUUAUUAAGCAUUUACAAUGAUACAUCAUGAAAUGUACAAAUGUAUUGAAUAAAAUAUACACAGCAAUCUCAACGCGAUACCUGUCACUGAAUCAGGUCUCUGACCAUAUUUUUGUCAUCCUGGGUCAUGUGAUCCAGCAGGAUCCAUUCUGUGUCCUGGAGCAGCUUGUGAGCCAGAAGUCUGGGUAUUAUGGUGUCAGGGUCUCAGGAUGCUAUGUGUACUCUGCACAUUCAUGACCAAAUAAUUGUACGGUUCUGUAACCACAGUUGGGCUCAUCCGUUUAGAGGAUUGUCUCGAGAGGCCCAUAUCGGCCACUUUAACAGUGAGAUCUUCUGUCAGCAGCACGUUUGAAGGCGUCAGGUCCCUGUGUACAAUAUUCAGUCUGUACAUGUAGGAAAAGGCAUUAGCCACCUGUACGGAAAAAUGACCAAGAAAAGUCAACGGGAGCAACUGUAGCGCGCGGCCUUGGUCGUAGUGGAAUUUCAGAGUGUGUCCGUUAUGAAUCACUUCACUCAACAUAUAAGGCACGUAGGGCAUGUUGAUCACAUUAGAGUGACCAUUAAGGGCUGUAUGACAGGAGAGUUCUCUCACAGUAGAGCAUUUUGAUUACAUUGGGGUGACCCUUGAGGGCUGGAAGACAGGAGAAUUCUCUCACAGUAGAGUGGUGUCCCCAUGGUUGGAUGUGCAUUCUGUAACUGGCUGGUAUCACUGGGCCUGGACAUCUCACCCCAGGUGGUUGGUAGUGCCUGGACUGUAUUUGUUACGCAUGGUUGGACAUGUGCUCCUUGGUUGGAUGGUAAUCCAACAGCUGGAUGAAACUGAAACAGAGCGUCAUUUUAAGCAGCAUAGCCUUUCAUCUCUAGUACUGUCCCUGACACAGAGACCUGUAUGUUUUGUGUACCGUACUCCUGAUUCUACAUAAUUGUGUUCCAGUCGUUAGAUCAGGCUUUCACUUCGCUGGACAAAACUUAACCCCAGAGCCCUCCCCAGAAUGUAUUUCUCCCCCUGCUGCCCAGUGGUUGCUGCCUCGGCCCGCGGCGUCCUCUCCUGUUCCGGUGGCCCCGCCUCCCCAGCCUGUUCCUACAGCCCCGCCUCCUCUGCCUGUUUCCGGCUUGCGUUGGUGGGGGUACGGCUUUCUCCCGCCCACCUUCCCCAGAUGUUGUGACAGUGAGGUGACGGACAGCUUCGUCAUAUCUCGCUUAUCCCGGUUUCCCAGUUUCUUGAGAAAGUCGUAGGUACGACAGUCCUCUUUUAGGUUGCACUCCACAGCGCUCUAAACCGUUAAACCCGAAAUCGCCACUUUCCUGGAGAGAUCUGGUUAAAAAACAUUGUCAGGUUUUAUUUGUGGGGACUUCUGAAACCUGGAUGUAAAGUGAAACCAGGUUCACACACACACACACACACUGUCAGGAAUCCACCUGGGACCCCUCCACUUAGGGUGACAUCACAGCUUAGUCGAUCGUCGUCGCUGGUCUUCUAGCUGCCACCGUCCCAGUUCCUGACUGCACACGAACACAGCCCUGGACAAUCAUUACACACACCUGAUUCCACUUCCAUCAUGUCUAUUUAACUUCCCAGUUCCUUAGCCUCCCUGUCCAGUAUUGUUUUGUGUCAGUGUGUUUCAGUGUUCUGUAGCCUUUUGGUUUGCUGCUUUGUACUUAGUAGCUCUAGAUUGCUGAGCAUCAUUUGGUGCAUGUUUGGCACCAUAUAUGUGCUCUGUGCCUUUAUUAAAACGUUUGGCACUUUCCUCCUCCGCACCUGGUUCUUGCAAAACCCCACCGUGAUACACACACAAACAUUUAACAGUUCAUUAAAAUGUAUAUUCUUUGAUUUUAUAUUUCUGUCAUUCAGAUUGAAUCCAACAUUUGUGUAUGCACACACUUUAUGUAUUAUACAGUAAUUAUCCCGUGCCAUCCAAUAAUAUUGGCACCCUAGGAAAAUAUUUACAAAACCGGAUGUGAAAAACAUUUAUUUGCUGUUUG
ensembl:lncRNA